UACAGAGGGUGCGAACGUUGCUCGGAAUUACUGGGCGUAAAGCGCGUGUAGGCGGGACGAUAAGUCGGAAGUGAAAUCCCUGGGCUCAACCCGGGAACUGCUUUCGAAACUGUCGUCCUCGAGUACCGGAGAGGGUGGCGGAAUUCCUGGUGUAGAGGUGAAAUUCGUAGAUAUCAGGAGGAACACCGGUGGCGAAGGCGGCCACCUGGACGGUCACUGACGCUGAGACGCGAAAGCGUGGGGAGCAAACAGG
rnacentral:rRNA from 1 species